AUACCAGCAGCUGUAUGCAGGAACACUUCACGUGUGAAAGUUCCAGUUUCUACUUAGUUAUGGUUGACAAUUUUUGAGCUACUGUAAAUGAUUUAACUGUGCUGUUGAAAGAAAACCUUUUUAUGGAAAGUCACAUUUAAACACACUAUGUCAUGAUUAGGUUGUCAGAGGCAACCGUGAAAGUCACGAAACAAAACCAGUUCCAUUUUCUGCAUUAUCCAAAACCACUCCGGUUUGACAAACCCUAUGUGAGCCUCCCAACCUCGAGACACCGAAUGCCCUCCUCAGACAUGAUGUACACAAGUGCCGCCAGAAAAUAGUUCAUAACAAAAAGGGAGUAUCCAUCGAAUAAGAACUCGAUUUUAGAUCACUGACAUUAUUUACUGCUUUGGUUUAAUAUUUGCCCAAGAAUUAGAAAAAAAAUUAUCUGUUCACCAUAAAUUAUUUGCUGCUAUGUAGCAGGGUACUUUGACGGCGGAUGGAUUUGUACAGUAUUUCUCGUCGCACAGUCACAGUACCUUCAGUUGGAGAAGAAGGGCUGUGGCGAGAGAAGCUCGUGAGAUGAGGCGAACAUCAAUCAACGCAAUAUACUGGUGCAGACCAUAUCAACAGAUGGACACCUCCGUCAGAGAAGUGCCAUACUCUGGACGACAAAGUCAAUAUCUUUCUGAAAUGAAGUCAGCUUGCAUCAUCUGAUCAUAAAAGGAGGUUCCCAAAACAAUAUUCACUACAAUCAAGCGUUACCAUUGGUUUCGAAUCAAAUUGUGACACAUCAUUGAUGACAUCGAUGUUAAGUUAUUUGGCUAGUGACAGAACAUCCAGCUUACUCAGGGUUUGCUAGUCAGGUCUAUUGUUAUAGCUGUCCAGCCUCUUGGAAACCCAGACUUCGGGGACUGUGCCUCUGGCUCAGUGGGGGCUGGUUCAGCUUAUUUAGUUAGAUGGGUGUGUUGGAUGUUUAAGUCAUUAUGAAGAGAAAGGUGUUUCAUUAAGCUGUUUUCUCAUGUUACAAGUGUUGAUGUUUUCGGUGUCUCGAUCGAUUCCUUACACUUACAAGUAAAGCACAUCAAUUCCUGUGACUAGUCCAUACCGCAAAGAGGAGCGUUCACAGAUAGUUGCUGAUAGUAACGGCCGUUCCUGAAAUGCAUACACUGAUAUACAAUAUGACACUUUUGACUAUUCCUCCACAACUUGGUUAAUACCCUAAACUAUCUGAUGUACAAAUUUUCAACAUUGUGACAUAUAAAAUUUGUCCGCUAAUCUUACUUCAACCAUUAGAAGGAGGUUGCUAAAAUGGGUUUUUGUUUUUAAUUAUAUGAAUUGAUGCUCCUUGUUCGUCAAGUAAUGACAUCUUAUAAUACUAAGAUAUUGCCCAACAGAAUUAUGGUCGCCCCCGAAAAAAAACAUUAACAAAUUUCCUACAGUUACACUCUACAA